rnacentral:rRNA from 1 species
AGCGAACGCUGGCGGCAGGCCUAACACAUGCAAGUCGAACGGCUCUUCGGAGCAGUGGCGGACGGGUGAGUAACGCGUGGGAACGUGCCCUUUGGUUCGGAACAACACAGGGAAACUUGUGCUAAUACCGGAUGUGCCCUUCGGGGGAAAGAUUUAUCGCCAUUGGAGCGGCCCGCGUUGGAUUAGGUAGUUGGUGGGGUAAAGGCCCACCAAGCCGACGAUCCAUAGCUGGUCUGAGAGGAUGAUCAGCCACACUGGGACUGAGACACGGCCCAGACUCCUACGGGAGGCAGUAGUGGGGAAUCUUGCGCAAUGGGCGAAAGCCUGACGCAGCCAUGCCGCGUGAAUGAUGAAGGUCUUAGGAUUGUAAAAUUCUUUCACCGGGGAAGAUAAUGACGGUACCCGGAGAAGAAGCCCCGGCUAACUUCGUGCCAGCCGCCGCGGUAAAAC